rnacentral:lncRNA from 1 species
UUUCCUGUUGCUUUGUGAAGAAGGUUCUUGUUUCUUCUUUGCCUUCUGCCAUGAUUGCCAUGUGAAUCGCACCCCUGGAACUGUGCGGGGCCCACCUGUGUGGCCACACGCAGUGACGCUGAGCAAAGGAGUGACCAGAGAAGUGCAUGGCAAAGCAGAAAGGUGUGCUGUCCUGGAGGACGGGGAGGAAAGCACGCCCAGCAGGCAGGAGCUAUCACGUGGCUGCUGGCUGCUGCUGAGAACCUGGCGUGGGCCACCGUCAUCAGCAGCGUGGAGGUAACUGACGACCUUGGCCAAGAAGUUGGGUGGCAGCGUGGAGGUCAUGCUCAGAGACACUCGCCAUUGCAGUCAGACCCCAUCUGGAUAAUCCUGGAUAAAUCUCAUCUGGAGAUCCUUCACCAGAUCACAUCGGCAAUGACCUGUUCCCCAAAUAAGGCCCCAUGCACAGGUUCUGGGGUGCUAGGAGUGAGCCACCAUGCCUGGCCCAGUUUUUAAUUCUUGGACAUCUCCAAAAUCAGGACAUAUCUUGUCAUUGAAGACGUCUCACCAUAGCGGCCAGCCAUGCAGCCACUGGGCCUGUCUGUGCCUGAACAAGACACUGGCCUGCCUUUGUCUGAACAAGACAGCCUCAGUCUCAAAGCUUGCAGAUGGGUGUAGGCCUGGAAGAAAAUUCUCAAGACAACGGUGGAGCACGCUUGCCCCUAGGAGACCAAGUGGCCGGGAUGUUGAGAAUCAGCCUUUCGCAGAAAUCCCCUAAGCGGGAGGCAGCAGGCUGACUCCAUCAGCCCCAGGCAGGCUUCUGGGCCCUGCAGCUAUGGCUCUUCAUCCUUUUACAUGUUCUUCGAGAAUCAGCUGCACCCUGGAUGCUUCUGACAGCUCAGAGGACAUGAGCAUGAGGACAAGCACAGGGCUUGAUGGCUCAGAGGGAAAUGGAGUUGGAAGAUUUGGACUUAAUAAUGUGCACAAAUUUUAGAAAUAUCUUAACAAAUUUUAUUUUGCUGAUAUCUUUCUUUUAUGUGUGUGCCAAAGUGAUGGCCGGUACAAAUCCAUGUCUAAUUAAGUCCAGAAGAGCUCCUUCAAUAAGCGUAAAAUGAAAGUUAUGAGUGAUAAGAAAGCGUCAUGUCAGUUUAAUUGGCAGCAUUUUCUCUUUUUUAGUGGUUCGUAAAAUAAUGCAGUGCUUUGCUAUCGACGGUGUCUUAAAUUCUGUGAAUAUUCCAAGUUAAAUCUAAUGCUGAAUAGCCACUGUGUGCAAGGCGGGUGA